GGGAGCCUCAGUGAUAUUGAACAACCACUGUGGAGUGGGGCUGGAACCACCUGUACUCUCAAAGAAAGGCAGGAUCCCUGCUGACUUCAGUUCUGUUCUCUGAAACAAACAUUUAAAUGAAAUAUGAUAUAAAAAAUAGACUCAUGGUAGCUAGCUAUUUUAUCCAGAAUGCUCUUUGCCUGAAGGAUUCACAGCAGAAUCCGUUUAAAUAGUGCCACUUAAGAUGUGAUUUAACAUAUAGAAAUGUAAUCUGAAUGCAUCUUGUAAGAAUAGAAUGGAUAUACUGGUAAUAUUUUUUUUCAACCAAGGUAGAAAAUCCUUCCCAGGAGCAGCAGAUCAUUGGGAAGGACAUUACUGAGGGUCACAGGGGCUGGGAGGGGCCCUGAAUGCUCUUCUUUAUGAAGGAGAACACUGAUGCAGACAAGUGGAAAGCUCAGCCCAUGGUCACAGGUAAUUCAGAGCGAAUUCUAACUCCACCACUGAUUAUAUAUAUAUAUAUAUAUAUAUAUAUAUAUAUAUAUAUAUAUAUUUAAUGGAAAACAGAAACCCAAGGAUUAAACUUAAUUAAUUUUAUUCAUUUCCUAUCCAGCCAAACUCAUUAGCAUAGCUGUCCAUAGGAAGUGGAAUCAAGUACUUUGUAAUUCCGUGUCCCUCUUCCCUGACUUUCCAAGGUACAGAGGGUAGCAGGCAUCACUAGAGAAAUUCUUCAUCAGAUAACCAGCCGCUGGAUUGGCAAGGAAUGACUAAAACUUGUGACUCUAGUGAGUACCAAAGGUAUUUUCACACUGGGCAAAGAUAGGCUCAUGUACAGGCUUUGGCCUGGGCAGCCAAGCCCUGAGCUUUUCAUCUUACCAAGUAAGAGGUUCUAUAACCUUCUAGGGCUAUACUUUUUCUGUUAAAUUUAGUGACUGGGCUGCAGGAAACUGUCACGAAUUGGAAGUCAGAAAAGCAGGAGGUUAUUUGAGACUUCUAUAUUUUAAAAAGGAAAGAAGGAAUGCAGAAAGAAAGAAGGGAUGCAUCUUACCCAGAAGUGCCAAUUUCUGACGCCCUGGGAAGCAGAAAUCAGCUUCUAGAUUCUUCUCUGUACUCUGUUGUCCUGGGAGAGAAAGAGAAGUCACUGUUGGUUACAGAUUCCUUUUAUAAAUCACAGGACUCAUGUCAGAAGAACAAAGUUUCCAGAAGCCAUGGUGGCUGAGCCAUAAAUCAGACAGGCACUCUCCAGCUGCUUUAAGGCAAUUUGGCGUUGCUGAAAAGAGAGAGAAAGCUGGCAUGAUGGGGAAAAGAGUUUGUGUCUCCCGUAGGACUGCUCUCUGUGCUUCAGGGGAGGGGUCACAUUUAGCCAGGAGCAGCACACAUGUGUGUCCGUGGGGAGCCCAGGUUCUCACUUACCCACGCCCAGCCACACUCCAUGCCUGGUCAUUAUCCUCUGUUCCCCUGGAGGUGUGUUUGGUUCUUGUUUUAUUUGCUUAUUUUUUUUUCUGUACCUGCAAUCCUCUGGCAGAUGGUUUAAUAUCCCUGCAGAAUUCCAAAUAGCAAUCUCAGAGUGCCUAAGCCAAGACUUUGCAGGCUUUCCUGAUAGUAGGUCCUGAAUCAGGUACCUGUGGGUCAAAUAGGAUGCAGUGUUAAGAAAUACUGGAUAUGAAUAUUUCAUUUCAAUAAAACCGGUAAAAGAUACAAGAAAUAUUGGGAGAUUUCCCAUAUAGACCUUGACUUUUUUGCUUUUGAAAAAUGAGAGAUCUGGUCUUGAUCCUGCAUUUCAACUUUCCACUGAGACUGGAGCCAUCACAGCACUGUUUUCCUUCUAGGUGGGAAACAUUUCCAAUGUGUGCAUUUCUGCCAAAGGCACUAAGCCCAGCCCACUUCAUCUGGUGACCCCAUGGACACAUUGCAUGUGGCCCCUCUCAAAGCCUUCCUUGUAUGAUCUCAUUGAACUGAGUUGCAGUGGAUGGUUAGAUGAGAUGGGGGUAGGUGUGGUUGUUGGGAAGAGGGUGAAAGCAGAAGCAAGGCUGGCAGCCUGUGCAGGAGGCAGUCACAACUCCAGGCGAGAGACAGAAUUGGGUGGCUGCUUGGAGAGAAGGGACCUUGUAGGAAUCAAGAACAUGCUAAGUUAUAUUCUCUGUCCAAUUAAGUAGGCAAGGAAAUGUGUGAUGCAAUUGAGGGUUUCCAUCUAAAAAUUAUUAAAAUGCAAAAAAAGGCAAACCUCAGUGUUUGGGUAUUUCUGAUUUGAGGCCAGCCGCCUACUUCUAUGAUGUCAGAUGAUGAGACAUCACUCUGUUCGUGCUGGCUGGGACUGAGGGUUUUGAGUUGGGGCUCUUCAGUGGGAUUUCAUGGCUUUCCCGGGUAAUGGUUGGCCAUCAGCCAUGGGCUCUGCAUCCUUGCAACACUGUGAAGCCCGUGGUCAUCCCCACGUGCUUUCUUCCCUCCCUUCCUAGAUUCUUCUUUGUAGGCUCUCCUGUUUAUGGAAUUAUUGGCUGUAGAGUUGGAACUGUGUCCAAUAUAAUUGAGUUGGGAGAGAGAUAAGAAGGGUUCUCCUCUUUUCCUUGCUUUACCUGUUAUCUCAUCAAAAUAUUUUGGGGCCAGAAUUUGGGCUAGAGGCAGCUCUAAAUCCUUAGGGUCCUAAGAGAGGAGCAGAUUUCAUAUUGGUCAUUCCUUACUGAGGACAGCUUUCACUUCUGAAAACCCAAAUUUAGAAGGAGUCUAUGAUUCUUCCCCUGCCCAUCACCCCUGACCCUCAUACUUGACCUUUCUAGGAGCAAAUCAGGUGGAGUUAAAGGGAAUCCGUCAUGGGUCUUCCAUUUUAAUGCCUGUCUGCCUCACUUUUUCCCAUAAAUGUAGUUCUGAAAAGUUGUUUUUGUGUGUGUGUGUGUGUGUGUGUGUGUGUGUAUAAAAGUAAUAUAAUCACUUUCCUAUCAGAGGUGAUUUUAAUAGGUAGGGGCCCUUUCUCGUUUAAAUGAAAUCACAGAAUAUAAUAACUAAGCUUAAAGGAAAAUAUAUGGUCUAUAAAAAUAUGAACUUAAAUUAGUUUAUGGCAUACUUCAUACAGCAUAAUUCCUUUGUCCAGUGGAAGGGAAAGGAACUAUGGACAGGGUUGCGGGAUUAUGGGUCAGAUUUGAGAAAGAGGCUUUUUAUUCACUGGAGGAAUUAGGGGGUAUUUUUCAAAAUGUAUGUUCAGAAGUGGGAACUCUAACAAACUCGAUUGCAAUUUCCUCUUUUUCUUGCUGCAUUCUGACUGUCUAGAUGAUGAAUUUCCAAGUGUGCAGCAUGGUAUCUUCCACACUUAUAGCCGAGUCAGGUGAGGCAGGAUGUGAGAAAUGAGGUCGCGGUCCUAAGGCCCUCCUGUCUCUCUGUUAACUGUAUGGGAAGGGGUGAUGUCAGCCAACCUCGGAGUCAGCGCCCAGUGCUGCUAGCCUGUCUGUGUAACUGUGUGGCCUUGAACACGGGGAACGCCUCUGAGCCAUGGCUCUCUCCUCUGUAAAAUCAGGCCAUCGAUAGAACACCCUCAUGGUGGCCAGUGGGGUUAAAGGAGAUAAUGCUAAGUAGGUAGCAACGCAGAUCCCAGCACAGAGUAAGCAUUCAAUUAAAAAAAAAAAAAAAAA
rnacentral:lncRNA from 1 species